rnacentral:rRNA from 1 species
GACGAACGCUGGCGGCGUGCCUAAUACAUGCAAGUCGAACGGGGAAAGCUUUCGGGUGAGUACUAGUGGCGCACGGGUGAGGAACGCGUGGAUAAUCUGCCUUAGAGUGGGGGAUAACUAGUCGAAAGAUUAGCUAAUACCGCAUAAGACCACAGGAGCUGCGGCUCAAGGGGUCAAAGGUUUUUCGCUCUAAGAUGAGUCCGCGUAAGAUUAGCUAGUUGGUGAGGUAACGGCUCACCAAGGCGACGAUCUUUAACUGGUCUGAGAGGAUGAUCAGUCACACUGGAACUGAGACACGGUCCAGACUCCUACGGGAGGCAGCAGUAGGGAAUAUUGCACAAUGGAGGAAACUCUGAUGCAGCGACGCCGCGUGAGUGAUGAAGGCCUUCGGGUCGUAAAGCUCUGUCGCAGGGGAAUAACACAAUGAAUGUACCCUGUAAGAAAGGAUCGGCUAACUUCGUGCCAGCCGCCGCGGUAAUAC